rnacentral:rRNA from 1 species
GUGCCAGCCGCCGCGGUAAUACGGAGGGUGCAAGCGUUAAUCGGAAUUACUGGGCGUAAAGCGCACGCAGGCGGUUUGUUAAGUCAGAUGUGAAAUCCCCGGGCUCAACCUGGGAACUGCAUCUGAUACUGGCAAGCUUGAGUCUCGUAGAGGGGGGUAGAAUUCCAGGUGUAGCGGUGAAAUGCGUAGAGAUCUGGAGGAAUACCGGUGGCGAAGGCGGCCCCCUGGACGAAGACUGACGCUCAGGUGCGAAAGCGUGGGGAGCAAACAGGAUUAGAUACCCUGGUAGUCC